GAUGGCCGAUCGUAUAGGUGCGGUCUCGACUCAAACUGACACGAUAAUGACCGAUCGUAUAGGUGCGGUCCCAGAAACUGAACUGACAUGACAAAGAGAUGGUCGAUCGUAUAGGUGCGGCCCCGACUCAAACUGACACGAUAAUGACCGAUCGUAUAGGUGCGGUCCCAUAAACUGAACUGUCAUGACAAAGAGAUGGCCGAUCGUAUAGGUGCGGCCCCGACUCAAACUGACACGAUAAUGACCGAUCGUAUAGGUGCGGUCCCGACUCAAACUGACACGAUAAUGACCGAUCGUAUAGGU
rnacentral:lncRNA from 1 species